AUUGAACGCUGGCGGCAGGCCUAACACAUGCAAGUCGGACGGUAGCACAGAGAGCUUGCUCUCGGGUGACGAGUGGCGGACGGGUGAGUAAUGUCUGGGAAACUGCCCGAUGGAGGGGGAUAACUACUGGAAACGGUAGCUAAUACCGCAUAACGUCUUCGGACCAAAGUGGGGGACCUUCGGGCCUCACACCAUCGGAUGUGCCCAGAUGGGAUUAGCUCGUAGGUGGGGUAAUGGCUCACCUAGGCGACGAUCCCUAGCUGGUCUGAGAGGAUGAGCAGCCACACUGGAACUGAGACACGGUCCAGACUCCUACGGGAGGCAGCAGUGGGGAAUAUUGCACAAUGGGCGCAAGCCUGAUGCAGCCAUGCCGCGUGUAUGAAGAAGGCCUUCGGGUUGUAAAGUACUUUCAGCGGGGAGGAAGGCGAUGAGGUUAAUAACCGCAUCGAUUGACGUUACCCGCAGAAGAAGCACCGGCUAACUCCGUGCCAGCCGCCGCAGUAA
rnacentral:rRNA from 1 species